rnacentral:rRNA from 1 species
GAUGAACGCUGGCGGCGUGCCUAAUACAUGCAAGUCGAGCGAACAGACGAGGAGCUUGCUCCUCUGACGUUAGCGGCGGACGGGUGAGUAACACGUGGAUAACCUACCUAUAAGACUGGGAUAACUUCGGGAAACCGGCGCUAAUACCGGAUAAUAUAUUGAACCGCAUGGUUCAAUAGUGAAAGACGGUUUUGCUGGCACUUAUAGAUGGAUCCGCGCCGCAUUAGCUAGUUGGUAAGGUAACGGCUUACCAAGGCAACGAUGCGUAGCCGACCUGAGAGGGUGAUCGGCCACACUGGAACGGAGACACGGUCCAGACUCCUACGGGAGGCAGCAGUAGGGAAUCUUCCGCAAUGGGCGAAAGCCUGACGGAGCAACGCCGCGUGAGUGAUGAAGGUCUUCGGAUCGUAAAACUCUGUUAUUAGGGAAGAACAAAUGUGUAAGUAACUAUGCACGUCUUGACGGUACCUAAUCAGAAAGCCACGGCUAACUACGUG